rnacentral:lncRNA from 1 species
UCGUCGUUAACUUUUACAAAAAUCUUCUCCUCUGAAACUACUGGGCCAAAUUAAACCAAACUUGGCCACAAUCAUCAUUGGGGUAUAUAGUUUAAAAAAUGUGUCCAGUGACCCGGCCAACCAUCCAAGAUGGCCGCCAUGGCUAAAAAUAGAACAUAGGGGUAAAAUGCAGUUUUUGGCUUAUAACUCAAAAACCAAAGCAUUU